GAGGGUGUAGCUCAGUGGUAGAGCACGUGCUUAGCAUGCAUGAAGUCCUGGGUUCAAUCCCAGUACUUCCA
rnacentral:tRNA from 1 species